CCUACGGGAGGCAGCAGUGAGGAAUAUUGGUCAAUGGGCGCGAGCCUGAACCAGCCAAGUAGCGUGAAGGAGGAAGGCGCUACGGGUUGUAGACUUCUUUUAUAAGGGAAUAAAGUGAGGCACGUGUGCCUUCUUGUGUGUACUCUAUGAAUAAGCAUCGGCUAACUCCGUGCCAGCAGCCGCGGUAAUACGGAGGAUGCGAGCGUUAUCCGGAUUUAUUGGGUUUAAAGGGGGCGUAGGUGGGGUGUUAAGCCCGCUGUGAAAGUUUGCGGCUCAACCCUAACAUUGCAGUUGAAACUGGGAGCCUUGAGUGCAGCAGAGGCAUGCGGAAUGCGCGGUGUAGCGGUGAAAUGCUUAGAUAUCGCGAAGAACCCCGAUUGCGAAGGCAGCUCGCUGGGCUGCAACUGACACUGAGGCACGAAAGUGUGGGGAUCGAACAGGAUUAGAUACCCGAGUAGUC
rnacentral:rRNA from 1 species